rnacentral:rRNA from 1 species
UAGAGUUUGAUCAUGGCUCAGAUUGAACGCUGGCGGCAGGCCUAACACAUGCAAGUCGAGCGGCAGCGACAACAAAGAUUCUUCGGAUGAUUUGUUGGGCGGCGAGCGGCGGACGGGUGAGUAAUGGCUGGGAACCUGCCCUGACGUGGGGGAUAACAGUUGGAAACGACUGCUAAUACCGCAUGAUGUCUUUGGACCAAAGAGGAGGACCUUCGGGCUUCUCGCGUCGGGAUGGGCCCAGUUGGGAUUAGCUAGUUGGUGAGGUAAUGGCUCACCAAGGCGACGAUCCCUAGCUGGUUUGAGAGGAUGAUCAGCCACACUGGAACUGAGACACGGUCCAGACUCUUACGGGAGGCAGCAGUGGGGAAUAUUGCACAAUGGGCGCAAGCCUGAUGCAGCCAUGCCGCGUGUGCGAAGAAGGCCUUCGGGUUGUAAAGCACUUUCAGCAGUGAGGAAGGGUAAUGAGUUAAUACCUUAUUAUCUUGACGUUAGCUGCAGAAGAAGCACCGGCUAACUCCGUGCCAGCAGCCGCGGUAAUACGGAGGGUGCGAGCGUUAACCGGAAUUACUGGGCGUAAAGCGCAUGCAGGCGGUUUGUUAAGUAAGAUGUGAAAGCCCCGGGCUCAACCUGGGAACCGCAUUUUGAACUGGCAGGCUAGAGUCCUGUAGAGGGGGGUAGAAUUUCA